UACAGUAACUGAGAGUGGGUCUGGGGAAGGUUCCUUUCCAAAGUGGCGUCACCAACGGACGCCGCUCAAAUGCCUCUGGGUGCAGUUGAACAGACCUAAAACCAAUCAGAGCAGUGAAGGAGAUGACGCAUCAAGUUGCUG